rnacentral:tRNA from 1 species
AGGGCAUUCGCCAAGCGGUAAGGCACGGGAUUUUGAUUCCCGCAUUUCGUUGGUUCGAAUCCAACAUGCCCUG